AGUGAACGCUGGCGGCGUGCCUAAUACAUGCAAGUCGAACGAUGAAGCUUCUAGCUUGCUAGAAGUGGAUUAGUGGCGCACGGGUGAGUAAUGCAUAGAUAACAUACCCUUUAGUCUAGGAUAGCCACUGGAAACGGUGAUUAAUACUGGAUACUCCUACGGGGGAAAGUUUUUCGCUAAAGGAUUGGUCUAUGUCCUAUCAGCUUGUUGGUGAGGUAAUGGCUCACCAAGGCUAUGACGGGUA
rnacentral:rRNA from 1 species